ensembl:snRNA U6 U6 spliceosomal RNA
GUGCUCCCUUCAGCAGCACAUAUACUAAAAUUGGAAUGUUACAGAGAAGAUUUGCAUGACCUUGCACAAGGAUGGCAUGCAAAUUCAUGAAGCAUUCCAUGUAUUU